rnacentral:rRNA from 1 species
GGGUUGUGAGGUUAAGCGACUAAGCGUACACGGUGGAUGCCCUGGCAGUCAGAGGCGAUGAAGGACGUGCUAAUCUGCGAUAAGCGCCGGUAAGGUGAUAUGAACCGUUAUAACCGGCGAUUUCCGAAUGGGGAAACCCAGUGUGAUUCGUCACACUAUCAUUAACUGAAUCCAUAGGUUAAUGAGGCGAACCGGGGGAACUGAAACAUCUAAGUACCCCGAGGAAAAGAAAUCAACCGAGAUUCCCCCAGUAGCGGCGAGCGAACGGGGAGGAGCCCAGAGCCUGAAUCAGCAUGUGUGUUAGUGGAAGCGUCUGGAAAGGUGCGCGAUACAGGGUGACAGCCCCGUACACAAAAGCGCAUGUGCUGUGAGCUCGAUGAGUAGGGCGGGACACGUGGUAUCCUGUCUGAAUAUGGGGGGACCAUCCUCCAAGGCUAAAUACUCCUGACUGACCGAUAGUGAACCAGUACCGUGAGGGAAAGGCGAAAAGAACCCCGGCGAGGGGAGUGAAAAAGAACCUGAAACCGUGUACGUACAAGCAGUGGGAGCACAGGUUUACCUGUGUGACUGCGUACCUUUUGUAUAAUGGGUCAGCGACUUAUAUUCUGUAGCAAGGUUAACCGUAUAGGGGAGCCGUAGGGAAACCGAGUCUUAACCGGGCGUUAAGUUGCAGGGUAUAGACCCGAAACC